rnacentral:rRNA from 1 species
AGAGUUUGAUCAUGGCUCAGAUUGAACGCUGGCGGCAUGCUUUACACAUGCAAGUCGAACGGCAGCGCGGGGGCAACCCUGGCGGCGAGUGGCGAACGGGUGAGUAAUACAUCGGAACGUGUCCCGUAGUGGGGGAUAACCCGGCGAAAGCCGGACUAAUACCGCAUAUGCUCUACGGAGGAAAGUGGGGGACCCGCAAGGGCCUCAUGCUAUGGGAGCGGCCGAUGUCCGAUUAGCUUGUUGGCGGGGUAAAGGCCCACCAAGGCGACGAUCGGUAGCUGGUCUGAGAGGAUGAUCAGCCACACUGGGACUGAGACACGGCCCAGACUCCUACGGGAGGCAGCAGUGGGGAAUUUUGGACAAUGGGGGCAACCCUGAUCCAGCCAUGCCGCGUGAGUGAAGAAGGCCUUCGGGUUGUAAAGCUCUUUUGGUCGGAAAGAAAAGGCUUCGUCCAAUAAACGAGGCUCUUGACGGUACCGGCAGAAUAAGCACCGGCUAACUACGUGCCAGCAGCCGCGGUAAUACGUAGGGUGCGAGCGUUAAUCGGAAUUACUGGGCGUAAAGAGUGCGUAGGCGGUUCUUUGUGUCCGCUGUGAAAGCCCCGGGCUUAACCUGGGAAUGGCAGUGGAAACUAGAGAACUCGAAUCUGGCAGAGGGGGGUGGAAUGCCACGUGUAGCAGUGAAAUGCGUAGAGAUGUGGCGGAACACCGAUGGCGAAGGCAGCCCCCUGGGCUGAGAUUGACGCUCAGGCACGAAAGCGUGGGGAGCAAACAGGAUUAGAUACCCUAGUAGUCC